AUGUGUUGUCAUUUGGGCCACAUGCACAUUUUCUCUUCUUUUGCAAUGAUUCUCCUUGGAAGACAAAGCAAAGAUGAAAGCCACACCCAGAGCAAAUGUAGAUGGUUCACCAUCCCUUGGUGUCCUGGUUCACCAUCCCUUGGUCUCCCACUACCUGCUGAACAGCCACCAUCUCAUGAAAUUGGUUAUCUCCAGAAGUUUCCAGGCCAGGCGCCAAUAUGGGCUGAGAGUAACAUCAAAAACUCUACAGCUUGUAAAAUGAUGUUAAAGAGGUUUCUCCAAGGCGAUCUGAGUAAAAUACCAUCUUCCCUGCCGCAGGGACCUGUGUGGCAGACGACAGGUGUCGUCCUGUACUGGAAUAUUCGUUCCUCUGCGAUUUGGCCCCGUCCCUGCUUGUGGUGUGUUUCACUCAGCCUCGUGUUCCACGGUGGGGCUUGCUGGGAAGCUGUUUUCUCACUGAGUGGAGCCCACAGUUGAAAGAGUAAGUCCAGUAACUAUUAAAGUUCUUUUACAGCUAAUGCUCGCUUAUAACAAGAAAUCCCCCAAAUCUACUCAAUAAAAAUAGCAAAAGCAUUGUCUUCCCUCA
rnacentral:lncRNA from 1 species